UACGUAGGGUGCGAGCGUUGUCCGGAAUUAUUGGGCGUAAAGAGCUCGUAGGCGGUCUGUCGCGUCUGCUGUGAAAACUCGGGGCUUAACCCCGGGCCUGCAGUGGGUACGGGCAGACUAGAGUGCGGUAGGGGAGACUGGAAUUCCUGGUGUAGCGGUGAAAUGCGCAGAUAUCAGGAGGAACACCAAUGGCGAAGGCAGCUCGCUGGGACGGUACUGACGCUGAGGCGCGAAAGCGUGGGGAGCAAACAGG
rnacentral:rRNA from 1 species